GUUGUGGCUCAGUGGUAGAGUGCUUGCCUAGCACACGUGAAGCACUGGGUUCCAUCCUCAACACAACA
rnacentral:tRNA from 1 species